GUUGUUGCCAUGUUCCUGAAAGCACGGGCUCAGGUCUGACUGACAGGUAUAACCGGUGUGCUGUGCCCAACUUCCAAAGUGCAUUCACAGGUGAGAAGACCGGUUCAGGUCCAUCUCAAGCUGAUAAACUGUCUCAAUCUGACUCAAGGAUCAUCGAGGCGCCAUUCUUCCUCAUACCCGAGCUUGAACUUGUGCUUGUUGGACUACUGUCACAGAAUUGCCUUCGACGACAGUAUUCUGUUCUGACAUCCAGCAGGACUUUUGUUUCUGCUGCUCUUCUCCUGAUCGAAUGCGCAACUCAUGCAACGUAACCAUUGUUUCCACUCCAAACUAGCCUAUAGAGAGUUUAGCGUGAAAACUGUCUCCACAAUCGAUGUGCAUUUUCACGUGUUUGAACUAGCACGUAUUUAUAUAGAUGGCUUUCUGACUGAGAGCACAAUUGUUGUUUUCUAAGCUU